rnacentral:rRNA from 1 species
GAUGAACGCUGGCGGCGUGCCUAAUACAUGCAAGUCGAGCGAACAGACGAGGAGCUUGCUCCUCUGACGUUAGCGGCGGACGGGUGAGUAACACGUGGUUAACCUACCUAUAAGACUGGGAUAACUUCGGGAAACCGGAGCUAAUACCGGAUAAUAUAUUGAACCGCAUGGUUCAAUAGUGAAAGACGGUUUUGCUGUCACUUAUAGAUGGAUCCGCGCCGCAUUAGCUAGUUGGUAAGGUAACGGCUUACCAAGGCGACGAUGCGUAGCCGACCUGAGAGGGUGAUCGGCCACACUGGAACUGAGACACGGUCCAGACUCCUACGGGAGGCAGCAGCAGGGAAUCUUCCGCAAUGGGCGAAAGCCUGACGGAGCAACGCCGCGUGAGUGAUGAAGGUCUUCGGAUCGUAAAACUCGGUUAUUAGGGAAGAACAAAUGUGUAAGUAACUAUGCACGUCUUGACGGUACCUAAUCAGAAAGCCACGGCUAACUACGUG